UACAUGGGGUGCAAACGUUGCUCGGAAUUAUUGGGCGUAAAGCGCGCGUAGGCGGUUACUCAAGUCGGAUGUGAAAGCCCUCGGCUUAACUGAGGAAGUGCACCCGAAACUGAGUAGCUAGAGUACUAAAGAGGGUCGCGGAAUUCCCGGUGUAGAGGUGAAAUUCGUAGAUAUCGGGAGGAACACCGGUGGCGAAGGCGGUUCUCUGGGCCUUACCUGACACUGAGGAGCGAAAGCGUGGGGAGCGAACAGG
rnacentral:rRNA from 1 species